rnacentral:rRNA from 1 species
UGGGGAAUAUUGCACAAUGGGCGCAAGCCUGAUGCAGCCAUGCCGCGUGUGUGAAGAAGGCCUUCGGGUUGUAAAGCACUUUCAGCGAGGAGGAAGGUGGUGAGCUUAAUACGCUCAUCAAUUGACGUUACUCGCAGAAGAAGCACCGGCUAACUCCGUGCCAGCAGCCGCGGUAAUACGGAGGGUGCAAGCGUUAAUCGGAAUUACUGGGCGUAAAGCGCACGCAGGCGGUUUGUUAAGUCAGAUGUGAAAUCCCCGGGCUCAACCUGGGAACUGCAUUUGAAACUGGCAAGCUAGAGUCUCGUAGAGGGGGGUAGAAUUCCAGGUGUAGCGGUGAAAUGCGUAGAGAUCUGGAGGAAUACCGGUGGCGAAGGCGGCCCCCUGGACGAAGACUGACGCUCAGGUGCGAAAGCGUGGGGCAGCAAACAGGAUUAGAUACCCUGGUAGUCCAGCGCUGUAAACGAUGUCGAUUUGGAGGUUGUG